rnacentral:rRNA from 1 species
GUACACUCCUGCGGGAGGCAGCAGUGGGGAAUAUUGCACAAUGGGCGCAAGCCUGAUGCAGCCAUGCCGCGUGUAUGAAGAAGGCCUUCGGGUUGUAAAGUACUUUCAGCGGGGAGGAAGGCGAUAAGGUUAAUAACCUUGUUGAUUGACGUUACCCGCAGAAGAAGCACCGGCUAACUCCGUGCCAGCAGCCGCGGUAAUACGGAGGGUGCAAGCGUUAAUCGGAAUUACUGGGCGUAAAGCGCACGCAGGCGGUCUGUCAAGUCGGAUGUGAAAUCCCCGGGCUCAACCUGGGAACUGCAUUCGAAACUGGCAGGCUAGAGUCUUGUAGAGGGGGGUAGAAUUCCAGGUGUAGCGGUGAAAUGCGUAGAGAUCUGGAGGAAUACCGGUGGCGAAGGCGGCCCCCUGGACAAAGACUGACGCUCAGGUGCGAAAGCGUGGGGAGCAAACAGGAUUAGAUACCCCUGUAGUCCCA